GACGAACGCUGGCGGCGUGCCUAAUACAUGCAAGUCGAGCGAAUCAAUAGGAACUUGCUCCUGUUGGUUAGCGGCGGACGGGUGAGUAACACGUGGGCAACCUGCCUGUAAGACUGGGAUAACAUCGGGAAACCGAUGCUAAUACCGGAUAAUUCAUUCCCUCUCAUGAGGGAAUGUUGAAAGUCGGUUUCGGCUGACACUUACAGAUGGGCCCGCGGCGCAUUAGCUAGUUGGUGAGGUAACGGCUCACCAAGGCGACGAUGCGUAGCCGACCUGAGAGGGUGAUCGGCCACACUGGGACUGAGACACGGCCCAGACUCCUACGGGAGGCAGCAGUAGGGAAUCUUCCACAAUGGACGAAAGUCUGAUGGAGCAACGCCGCGUGAGCGAUGAAGGCCUUCGGGUCGUAAAGCUCUGUUGUUAGGGAAGAACAUGUACCGGAGUAACUGCCGGUACCUUGACGGUACCUAACCAGAAAGCCACGGCUAACUACGUGCCAGCCGCCGCAGUAA
rnacentral:rRNA from 1 species